rnacentral:lncRNA from 1 species
GGUUCUGGUUUUUAUCCGGUGGAUUUCGGAUACCCGGUAGCAACCCGAAUCAUUUAUUCAUUAAGACCGUUGUAAAGCACGCAUGUGUCUCGAUGCUUUACCCGAGUCGUCUCUUCACAUUCAUCCCCAAUUCCAAAACCUAACUUUUCGAUUCGUUUCCCCCAUUAGAGAUCGAGAAUCGUGACAAUGACUCUACAAAAAGGGCAAACCGUGUUAGAUGCAACCACAAACCUGGAAUCCUUAGAGAGAAUCGACGAUUGUUUUCCAUCUCCACCAUCUGCAUCAUCGAGAAUUCAAUCAGAGGUAUGCAUAUUUUCUUAGUUCUUAAUCUUAAAAUCGAUUUAUUUUUAAUUGUUCUCUAUGUUCAUAUAUCAUUUCUUAGCUAUUAUUCUAAUUGAUUGAAUUUUGGUUUAUGAAUUCGAUUGUUUGUUUUGAGUUUUGGUUGAUGAAUUCGACUGUUUGUUUGGUUCUUUACUAUUUGUUCAUAUCAUUGUCUGAAUUCGAUUGAUUAUUGAC